UACGUAGGGGGCAAGCGUUGUCCGGAUUUAUUGGGCGUAAGGAGCGUGUAGGCGGUCAGGUAGGUCCGUUGUGAAAACUCGAGGCUCAACCUCGAGACGCCGAUGGAAACCAUCUGACUAGAGUCCGGAAGAGGAGAGUGGAAUUCCGUGGUGUAGCGGUGAAAUGCGCAGAUAUCAGGAAGAACACCCGUGGCUAAGGCGGCUCUCUAGUACGGUACUGACGCUGAGACGCGAAAGCGUGGGGAGCGAACAGG
rnacentral:rRNA from 1 species